rnacentral:SRP_RNA from 1 species
GCUAGGCGUGGUGGCGGGCGCCUGUAAUCCCAGCUACUCAGGAGGCUGAGGCAGGAGAAUCGCUUGAACCCGGGAGGCGGAGGUUGCAGUGAGCCAAGAUCACGCCACUGCACUCCAGCUUGGGUGACAGAGCGAGAUCCUGUCUCCA